CACGUAGGGCGCAAGCGUUGUCCGGAAUUACUGGGCGUAAAGCGUGCGCAGGCGGUUAUUUAAGUCAGGUGUGAAAGCCCUGGGCUUAACCUAGGAAUUGCGCUUGAGACUGGAUAGCUUGGAGUGCGGCAGAGGGAGGUGGAAUUCCACGUGUAGCAGUGAAAUGCGUAGAGAUGUGGAGGAACACCGAUGGCGAAGGCAGCCUCCUGGGCCAGCACUGACGCUCAUGCACGAAAGCGUGGGGAGCAAACAGG
rnacentral:rRNA from 1 species